AUUGAACGCUGGCGGCAGGCCUAACACAUGCAAGCCGAGCGAGCGGCGGACGGGUGAGUAAUGUAUGGGGAUCUGCCUGAUAGAGGGGGAUAACUACUGGAAACGGUGGCUAAUACCGCAUACUAUCGGAUGUACCCAUAUGGGAUUAGCUAGUAGGUGGGGUAAAGGCUCACAGAGGCGACGAUCCCUCGCUGGUCUGAGAGGAUGAUCAGCCACACUGGGACUGAGACACGGGCCAGACUCCUACGGGAGGCAGCAGUGGGGAAUAUUGCACAAUGGGCGCAAGCCUGAUGCAGCCAUGCCGCGUGUAUGAAGAAGGCCUUAGGGUUGUAAAGUACUUUCAGCGGUGAGGCGUUACCCGCAGAAGAAGCACCGGCUAACUCCGUGCCAGCAGCCGCGGUAAUUC
rnacentral:rRNA from 1 species